rnacentral:rRNA from 1 species
CCUACGGGAGGCAGCAGUGAGGAAUAUUGGUCAAUGGACGCAAGUCUGAACCAGCCAUGCCGCGUGCAGGAAGACGGCUCUAUGAGUUGUAAACUGCUUUUGUACGAGGGUAAACGCAGAUACGCGUAUCUGUCUGAAAGUAUCGUACGAAUAAGGAUCGGCUAACUCCGUGCCAGCAGCCGCGGUAAUACGGAGGAUUCAAGCGUUCUCCGGAUUGAUUGGGUUUAAAGGGUGCGUAGGCGGUGGGGUAAGUUAGUGGUUAAAUCCCGGGGCUCAACUUCGGAAGUGCCUCUGAUACUGUUCGGCUAGAGAGUAGUUGAGGUAGGCGGAAUGUAUGGUGUAGCGGUGAAAUGCUUAGAGAUCAUAAAGAACACCGAUUGCGAAGGCAGCUUACCAGGCUACUUCUGACGUUGAGGCACGAAAGCGUGGGGAGCAAACAGGAUUAGAUACCCGGGUAGUC